rnacentral:rRNA from 1 species
CCUACGGGCGGCAGCAGUGAGGAAUAUUGGUCAAUGGGCGCUAGCCUGAACCAGCCAAGUCGCGUGAAGGAUGAAUGCCCUAGGGGUUGUAAACUUCUUUUAUAUGGGAAUAAAGUGCAGUAUGUAUACUGCUUUGCAUGUACCUUAUGAAUAAGGAUCGGCUAACUCCGUGCCAGGAGCCACGGUAAUACGGAGGGUCCGAGCGUUAUCCGGGUUUAUUGGGGUUAAAGGGAGCGGAGGCGGGUUGUUAAGUCAGUUGUGAAAGUUUGUGGCUUAACCGUAAAAUUGCAGUUGAUACUGGCAUCCUUGAGUACAGGAGAGGUAGGCGGAAUUCGUGGUGUAGCGGUGAAAUGCGUAGAGAUCACGAAGAACUCCGAUUGCGAAGGCAGCCUGCUGGACUGUAACUGACGCUGAUGCUCGAAAGUGUGGGUAUCAAACAGGAUUAGAUACCCCUGUAGUC